AUGGCCUGGGCCCCUCUCCUCCUCGCGGUGCUCGCCCACACCUCAGGUUCCCUGGUCCAGGCAGCAGUGUCUCAGCCGUUCUCGAAGUCGGUGAACCCAGUGCAGAUCACCUGCUCUGGGAGUAGCAACAGCUAUGGCUGGUACCAGCAGAAGACGCCUGGCACUGGCCCUGUCACUGUGAUCUGUUGGAAUGACAAGAGACCCUUGGGCAUCCCUUCACGAUUCUCUGGUUCCUUGUCUGGCUCCACGGCCACGUUAACCAUCACUGGGGUCCAAGCCAAGGAUGAGGCUGUCUAUUACUGUGGGAGCAGGGACAGCACUGAUGCUGGUAUAGUGACACAGAGCGAUGGGGACAUGAGGGACAGACCACAGCUAGAAAUGGAGGCUUUCUGCCCUUCUCCGUAA